GCGAUGGGGCAGGCAAACCAGGCAAUUGCUUGGGGCCCCAAGCUGGCCUGGGGCCCCCAGACAACAACAGGUUAAGAAUUAAAUGCAGCGACAAACUGUGUGAGCCCCCUUUACAUUCUCAAAGUCAAUGAGCAAUGACACUGUUCUUAGAAUCCCCCUCAAGGGGGCCCCUCCCACCAGCUGCUGAAGGCAGGCAGACACUGUCCUGGCAGACAGCCAAGCUUUAGACGCCGGCAAAUAUGAAACUUAACCAUGAAGCGAAUUUAUCCAUCAGGAAGCCAAAAGAGAAAACAAAAGAAGGAAGAGGAACACAAAAAAAACACAAGACAGUGGUGUUUUGCUUAAAUUUCUAAGCCCUCUUCCUAAAGAUGCCUCUGAUGAAGCUGUACCAUCAACAGCAUCUCUCAUUGAUGAGAAAGACAAUGAGGAAGAAGAAGACAUGGAAGAAACUACAUCCACUGGUGCCAUGGCCUCAACAUCAACAUACAUUGAGUCUGCACUACAUCUCAGCACUGGUGUUACCUCAACAGCACAAGCAACUCUCAUUGAUGAGGAAGACAACAUGGGAGAAGAAGAUGUGGGAGGAACUACAUCCAGUGGUACCAUGGCCUCAACAUCAACACAAAUUGCAUCUCCACCACAUCUCAGCACUGGUGAUACCUUUACAGCACAAGGUACCACAAGCACUUUCAUUAUAUAUUUUUGAAUAUGGGAGUGUUUUGUUUCAGCUGUUCAAAUUUACCUUGUGUGUAUUUAUACUUACUAUGCAAUUUGCACUUUAUUUUUUAUAAUUGUUGUUAUGGGAUACUAUUGCUGUGUUUUUUUUACAUAAAGUGUGUUGGACCUAAACUGUGUGUAUAUGCUGUGGUUCUUGAAGGUGGACCGCGGCCAGAUAUGUUUUUUUUUUUGGCCGGAGGGGGGUUUGGGCAUGAGAUUUCUGGUGUGGAGGUUGGGGGGGCCCCGGUUGGUGUCUUUGCUUGGGGCCCCCAAAUACCUUGAAACGG